rnacentral:rRNA from 1 species
GUAGGUGGCAAGCGUUGUCCGGAUUAUUGGGCGUAAAGCGCGCGCAGGCGGUUCUUUAAGUCUGAUGUGAAAGCCCACGGCUCAACCGUGGAGGGUCAUUGGAAACUGGAGAACUUGAGUACAGAAGAGGAAAGCGGAAUUCCACGUGUAGCGGUGAAAUGCGUAGAGAUGUGGAGGAACACCAGUGGCGAAGGCGGCUUUCUGGUCUGUAACUGACGCUGAGGCGCGAAAGCGUGGGGAGCAAACAGGGAUUAGAUACCCUGGUAGUCCACGCCGUAAACGAUGAGUGCUAAGUGUUAGGGGGUUUCCGCCCCCUUAGUGCUGCAGCUAACGCAUUAAGCACUCCGCCUGGGGAGUACGGCCGCAAGGCUG